rnacentral:rRNA from 1 species
AACGAACGCUGGCGGUAUGCCUAACACAUGCAAGUCGAACGAGAGCAUAGGGAGUAGUGGCGCAUGGGGGCGUAACGCGGGGGAAGCUGCACUUAGGUUUGGAAUAACACCCCGAAAGGGGUGCUAACAUCGGGUAAUGUACUCGGACAAAAGAUAUAUCUUCCUUGGAUGGGCCCGCGUUGGUUAAGCUGGUUGGUAGGGUAAAAGCCUAUCAGGGCGACGUUACAUAGCUGGUCUGAGAGGAUGGCAGGACACUCUGAGACUAGGACGCGGCCCGGACUCCUACGCGAGGCAGCAGUGGCUGAUCUUGCCCUAUCGGCGAAGUCCUGAUCCAGCUCUGCCUCUUGAGUCAUGAUGUCCGUAGGGUUAUGAAGCUCUUUUACCCGGGCUGAUAAUGACGGUACCGUGAGAAUAAGCUCCGGCUAACUCCGUG